rnacentral:lncRNA from 1 species
UUAAUUCACAUAUUUCGUAAAUUUAACCAUAAAAUAUGUGUUACCAUCAUCAUUGCAUUUUAAUAAUUAUCAGAGGUAAUUCGAGUUGAUUUAAUUAUUUAAUGAUUAAGCCUAAUGAAUGCAGGUCAAGUCAAACUUAUUUGGGAUGAUUCCUGAAUCCAAAUCAUAUGCACCCCGCAAAUCAAGACCCUCUGAUUCAGUCACCCAACUCUUUUUCCACAUGAUCCGAUUUUAAUAAAAUCUCUUCAAUUAUUUGUUUCUUAUAUCUCAAAGUAUAUCAUCUAAUUGCACGGAUCUCAAAGCCUCAACCCAUCCUUAUUCCAUCUCUAAACACAACCCCCAGCUCCUCUCCG